rnacentral:rRNA from 1 species
GGUGAACGCUGGCGGCGUGCCUAAUACAUGCAAGUCGAGCGAACGGACGAGAAGCUUGCUUCUCUGAUGUUAGCGGCGGACGGGUGAGUAACACGUGGAUAACCUACCUAUAAGACUGGGAUAACUUCGGGAAACCGGAGCUAAUACCGGAUAAUAUUUUGAACCGCAUGGUUCAAAAGUGAAAGACGGUCUUGCUGUCACUUAUAGAUGGAUCCGCGCUGCAUUAGCUAGUUGGUAAGGUAACGGCUUACCAAGGCAACGAUGCAUAGCCGACCUGAGAGGGUGAUCGGCCACACUGGAACUGAGACACGGUCCAGACUCCUACGGGAGGCAGCAGUAGGGAAUCUUCCGCAAUGGGCGAAAGCCUGACGGAGCAACGCCGCGUGAGUGAUGAAGGUCUUUGGAUCGUAAAACUCUGUUAUUAGGGAAGAACAUAUGUGUAAGUAACUGUGCACAUCUUGACGGUACCUAAUCAGAAAGCCACGGCUAACUACGUG